rnacentral:rRNA from 1 species
GACGUAGGGCGCGAGCGUUGUCCGGAUUUAUUGGGCGUAAAGAGCUCGUAGGCGGCUCGGUAAGUCGGGUGUGAAACCCCCAGGCUCAACCUGGGGACGCCACCCGAUACUGCUGUGGCUAGAGUCCAGUAGGGGAGUGUGGAAUUCCUGGUGUAGCGGUGAAAUGCGCAGAUAUCAGGAGGAACACCAGCGGCGAAGGCGGCGCUCUGGGCCGGUACUGACGCUGAGGCGCGAAAGCUAGGGGAGCGAACAGG